ACGCUUGAGACUAGCAGAGGCGAAACCAGCGGGAAGACGACUUCGCCACCAAGGGCGGGCGGGCCUGCUGGGAUACUCCGGAGCGCUCUCGUCUGUGUGAUCGGGGCUUCGCUGACUUUCCGGCCUACUUAAGCCCCUGGGCCUGGGCCCAGGAAGGGUUUGUUGAACCGGGAGCUAAGAAGGGAAUUGGCUCGUUCGACAGACGUUUUCUGCGCAGCUGUGGCGUGCAAGGCACGGGGCCGGUGCGGGACCUCCAGAGAGACCUGUGCCCAAAGCUUGAGAAAUGAGAAGCAGUACCUAGAACAGUGCUUGGAACGUGGCGGGUGCACAUAUUGGUGGAAAGAACGAUUCCCGGGAGAGCGGGGCUCAGCGACAUCGCCAAGUGAUCUGUAGUCUUGGAGCCGCCCAGGGUUGGUGGUACCCUAGAGCACACCAGACUUGCAGAGAAAGCAGACUCAGAGGAAGCUGAGGCAUAACUGCUCAAGAGCCAGCAGUACGAUGUGCAAUUUUCCUCUGAUAGUUCCUGGGUACUGUUGCCACGGUGAUAAUGGCUGUGCCAGUGCCGUUAUCUAUCAACCGACAGUAAGAGCAGCUUUUUGCAGUCAGAUAUUGUUUAACAGAUGGAGUGGUUUCUGUUGGACACUAAGUACUGCUACAAGUUACUUUUUUUAAAAAUUAUUUUAGGAGUUUCUGUUGUGACUAAGCGGAAACGAAUCGCCCUAGCAUCCAUGACGACGCAGGUUUGAUCCCUGGCCUUGCUCAGUGGGCUAAGGAAUCCCGGUUGCCAUGAGAGCUGUGGUGUAGGUCGCAGACCAGCUCGGAUCUGGUGUUGCUGUGGCUGUGGUGUAGGCCAGGGGCUACAGCUAGGAUUCGAUCCCUAGCCUGGAACCUCCAUAUACUGCGGAUUCGGCCCUAAAAAGACCAAAAAAAAAGAAAAAAAAUUUUUUUUUUUUUGUUACUGAAAUGUAGUUGAUCUACAAUGUUGUGUUAAUUUCUGCUGUACAUCAAAGUGAUUCAUUUAUACAUAUAUAUUCUUUUCCAUUAUGGCUUAUCACAGGAUAUUGAAUAGAGUUGCCUGUGCUAUAUAGCAGGACCUUGUUGUUUAUCCAUUCUAUGCAUACUAGUUAGCAGCUGCUAAUCUCAAAUUCCCACUCCAUCCCUCCCCCGCCCCUCACAUUAUUUUUUUUUAAUUUAAAGUAGUUUAUAAGUUGUUGCUGGAGGUGAUCUGCUUCGGAGGCACUCCCAUUUAAACAUCGGAAAAUUAGUACAUGUGCUCUCAGCCAGUGAGUUCUCCAAAUACGCAUUUAGCAGGAAACUCGAGUUCAGUAAACUGAAAAUAAACUGAAGACGUUACUCAGAAGUGCUCCUCGGUGACAUACGUAUUUUAUCCCCAUCAAUGUUACUGAUGUGUAGUAGUUUUCCAAUGUAGGACCCAAAAUUGAUCAGCUUCUUAAAGAAUCCUAUUGUUUUUUCAUCCCCCAGAUUCCUGGAUUCCAGGUAAAUCAGAGGAACAAACCUGAACAGAAAUAUACAGGAAGUGAUGUGAUGCUGAAGCUUAACGCUUAUUUCAGAAGUCUGGUAUCUGGUGCUCUUAACAGCAGAAACUAUAUUAUUUGCAAAAUCACCACGCUUUUACUUGUAUUAUAUAGUAAUUUUUUAAAAAAUAAAUAUUGACAAUUUGUUCU
rnacentral:lncRNA from 1 species